GCCUACGGGGGGCAGCAGUGAGGAAUAUUGGUCAAUGGCCGAGAGGCUGAACCAGCCAAGUCGCGUGAGGGAUGACGGCCCUACGGGUUGUAAACCUCUUUUGUCGGGGAGCGAGACCCGCCUCGUGCAGGCGGAGCGAGAGUACCCGAAGAAAAAGCAUCGGCUAACUCCGUGCCAGCAGCCGCGGUAAUACGGAGGAUGCGAGCGUUAUCCGGAUUUAUUGGGUUUAAAGGGUGCGUAGGCGGAUUUUUAAGUCAGCGGUAAAAUGUCCGGGCUCAACCCGGGCCGGCCGUUGAAACUGGGGG
rnacentral:rRNA from 1 species